UACCCCUUGGUAAAAAUUGUUGUAACGGCAGGGGUUAGUAAGAGGCUGGUUUCCAGCCUGCCCAAUAUCCCUGAAACUAUAAAAAAG
rnacentral:ncRNA from 1 species